rnacentral:misc_RNA from 1 species
GUAGGUGAACCUGCGGAAGGAUCAUUAAUGAAAUGUUAGGACGCUCUUUUUAGAGGUCCGACCCAAAUCAUUUUCCUUCAACACUGUGCACAUACUAUUUUUUACACCAUUUUUAUAACACAUCAGUUUAAGAAUGUAAAUCAAGUCUCGAAAGAGCAAUAAACAAAACAAAACUUUCAGCAACGGAUCUCUUGGCUCUC